GGAGAUAUGGCUCAGUGGGUAGAGUGAUUGCCUAGCAUGUACCAAGGCCCUGGGUUCAACCCCCAGCAUCACCA
rnacentral:tRNA from 1 species